rnacentral:rRNA from 1 species
UCUUGCGCAAUGGGGGAAACCCUGACGCAGCAAUGCCGCGUGAGUGAAGAAGGCCUUCGGGUCGUAAAGCUCUGUCUGGCGGGAAGAAUAGCCGGGAGGUUAACAGCCCCCCGGUGUGACGGUACCGCUAGAGGAAGCACCGGCUAACUCCGUGCCAGCAGCCGCGGUAAGACGGAGGGUGCAAGCGUUAUUCGGAAUCAUUGGGCGUAAAGAGCGUGUAGGCGGCCGGUCAAGUCAGAGGUGAAAGCCCAGGGCUCAACCCUGGAAGGGCCUUUGAAACUGGUCGGCUUGAGUGCGGGAGAGGGAAGUGGAAUUCAUGGUGUAGAGGUGAAAUUCGUAGAUAUCAGGAGGAACACCGGUGGCGAAGGCGACUUCCUGGACCGACACUGACGCUGAGACGCGAAAGCGUGGGGAGCAAACAGG